ensembl:lincRNA Gm29341 predicted gene 29341
ACAAUAGUUCAUCACAUGGGCACAUUCAGCAAAGAGACAACAUUUCCAGCAGGGUGGAGUUUAGAUAUAACAGUCUCUGGGAACCUUCUUUCUUGGCUCUUUGCCUAACCACCAGGCUCUCCACCCACCCCCUUCUUUCGAAGUUACCCCAGUAUUCCAAGAAAUUGCUCAAUUCGAAGGGCGUUCAAAACUUUAAGUCAAAAUCUAGCUCCAUGUGACUUAGGUAUAAUCCACAAAAGGACAAAGCCGUCAGAAGAGUAACUCGUCUCUCAUGGGCUAUGCAAAAAAGAUGCUAAUGAGACAUUUAUAAUUGAGGCCACACAGGCAUAAAAGUCAGAAAAGCUUUAUUUAUGGCCUGUACAGCUGCUGC